rnacentral:rRNA from 1 species
GUUAGCUGGUCUGAGAAGAUGAUCAGCCACACUGGAACUGAAACACGGUCCAGACUCCUACGGGAGGCAGCAGUGAGGAAUCUUGCGCAAUGGGGGAAACCCUGACGCAGCGACGCCGCGUGAGUGAAGAAGGCCUUCGGGUCGUAAAGCUCUGUCAAGUGGGAAUAAAACCCAGCGGUGAAUAGCCGUGAGGGUCUGAAGGUACCACUAGAGGAAGCACCGGCUAACUCCGUGCCAGCAGCCGCGGUAAUACGGAGGGUGCGAGCGUUAUUCGGAUUUAUUGGGCGUAAAGAGCGUGUAGGCGGUUGGGUAAGUCAGAUGUGAAAGCCUUUUGCUUAACGAAAGACGUGCAUCUGAAACUGCUCAACUUGAGUACGAGAGAGGAGAGUGGAAUUCCCAGUGUAGAGGUGAAAUUCGUAGAUAUUGGGAGGAACACCCGUGGCGAAGGCGACUCUCUGGAUCGAUACUGACGCUGAGACGCGAAAGCGUGGGGAGCAAACAGGAUUAGAUACCCUGGUAGUCCACGCUGUAAACGAUGGGAACUAGGUGUAGCGGGUAUUGAUCCCUGCUGUGCCGAAGCUAACGCAUUAAGUUCCCCGCCUGGGGAGUACGGCCGCAAGGCUAAAACUCAAAGGAAUUGACGGGGGCCCGCACAAGCGGUGGAGCAUGUGGUUUAAUUCGAUGCAACGCGAAGAACCUUACCUGGGUUUGACAUCCUCUGACAGUCCCUGAAAGGGGAUCUUCCCGAUUUUUCGGGACAGAGUGACAGGUGCUGCAUGGCUGUCGUCAGCUCGUGUCGCGAGAUGUUGGGUUAAGUCCCGCAACGAGCGCAACCCUUGUCUUUAGUUGCCAGUAUUCAGUUAGGCACUCUAAAGAUACUGCCACGGUUAACGUGGAGGAAGGUGGGGAUGACGUCAAGUCCUCAUGGCCUUUAUGCCCAGGGCUACACACGUGCUACAAUGGGCUGUACAAAGGGCAGCGACGCCGUGAGGCGAAGCUAAUCCCAAAAAGCAGUCCUCAGUUCGGAUUGGAGUCUGCAACUCGACUCCAUGAAGUUGGAAUCGCUAGUAAUCGUGGAUCAGAAUGCCACGGUGAUACGUUCCCGGGCCUUGUACACACCGCCCGUCACACCACGAAAGUUGGCUGUACCAGAAGUUGUUGAGCUAACUCUCGAUCUAUCGGGAGAGGCAGGCACCUAAGGUAUGG